rnacentral:lncRNA from 1 species
CUCGUUAGGCAAACACAAGUAUUUGAUUCUCAUGCCUCUUCAGGCACUAACAAGUAUUCUUAAUACUUAUCCUUUCAUGUAUUAUUGUACAAGAAUCAUAUUUUGUUUACAUGAGGUGCGGUUCAUACAUACUUAAGAGAUGCUUACAGAUCUGAAAAAACAUUUAUCUCCAGUUGUAUAUGAUAGAGCUGAUGGAUUCAAAGUGCUCUCAAUCCUAAUCUCUAUGACUUGAUCAACCAGUAGAGUAGACGUUGAAGCCACAUGAUCAUAGUCACUUUCUACUUUUCUCUCUAAGGCUUAGAACUUGUAUCUUUUCUUGUGAGUCUUUUUUUUGUUUUUCUUUUAUCACUCUUACUUUUUAUAGCAAGGCAUAGACAAUCUAUCUAUUUCAAUUUAUCCUUAGUUUUCUUCUACUCCACUCUUUCUCUUCUCUUGAGGUCUUCAAAUACAUAGUCUUGCUUAAGUAGAACCUCCGCUUCCAAGAGCUGUAUGAAUUGACUACAUGCUUCUUGUAUUGAUGAACAAUUCCAACAUGUGUAAAUGCAAGUAGGAAAUGUACUUCAUGAUCAUUUGAGUAUACUCCCCCUCAACUUGUGCACGGUGUGUCGUCUUUCAUUGUUUCAAUCUUCUUUCUUUCAUCUUCUCUUCUUCACUCUGUUCCACACACAAUCUUUUUCAUUUUCUCUUGAUCUCUAUCUUCUUCUCUACCGGUCUCUCUUUUACUAUAUCAUUCACAGAUCUCAAGCACACUUAGAUCUUUUUUUCUCAUCAUCAUUUCAUUUAUACUUAGUCUUCAUCAUAUGACUGUUGCAAGGCUUGUAACUAUCUAGGUAGUUUGUAGAUGGUCUUCUUGUAGAUGUUAGAGAGUGGGCAAGAUUCGUUCUUACCAAAAGUACUAUAAGAACAAUUGUUCUAGCAUGUGUCAGAUAGAUGAAGACUCGGUAGUACAAAGGUAAGCUUUCAACAUGUCUUCAUUGUCCAUGAUAGCUGCGAAUUGUACUUUUGUUACUUAUUUUCAGCCAUGAGUGUUCAGAACUUUGUUGACCCUAGAAAGCUUUCGUGACCGGUUGCUAAGUGCCAUGCAUAACUUUCUCCUUUUGGCAAAAGGCAUGCUUCAUAGCUUUUUGAUGACUUGAUAGCUUUGUACUUUUGCUUCUGAUUAUUGUACUCUUGUCUGACUAGCUAGGCAAGUCACGUGUGAACAAAUUUAGCUCUUUAUUUCACUUUCUUGAGUGGACGAUUUUUCUUUCUUUUUCUUAGUCCAUUUUUCAUAAGCGUUAUGGUCAGAUGAUUGAGUUCUUGAACAUUGUAUGUAGCUGGAAGACAAUGAAGCUCUAGACGAUACAAGCUAUGGAUACUGUCUUCUUGGACGAUAUAGGUCAGACUAUGCUUGUGUAGACGAUACUAGAAGAUGAAGUUAAUGCUUGAUGGAUAUAACACUUGGUUUUGUGUACUUCAACUGACUUUUCUUUAGGGUUUCAUACUCCUUGCUUUGCAUUGGCCUUUCUCAUUCUUCAUGUUAAUUUUCAGUAGUAGCUUUGUCGUUUUGUCAUCAUUAAAACAUUUCUUCUCCUUUAGUGAUAACUCAUUUGAACCUUACAGAUAUAUGAUGUGAUAAGAAAAGAAGAGAAAUAUAUAUAAAUAGAAAUUAACUAGAAAUUAAAUUGAAAGAAAUUGUAAAAACUAUCAUAUAUUAUUAUUAGAUCAACCGAAUCCAAUUUUUGACAGCCGCUAAAUGUGAAGAGUGAAAAAAGGACGUUAAAUACACCAAUUUUGUGGUGGUUUGUAUGCUCUCAAAAUGUUAGAAUAGUGUACUUAUUUUUUAAGAUACUCUAUAAAUUGUGACGAUUUUUGCGGUAAAAAAAAAAAUCACAACCGUCGGUGUGAAUGAGUCGAAACUCUAUUGUUGUAUUGCAUCGACACCUAGUGCUCAGAUUGCAUGUGCGCAACUUAAGGGCCAGAUAUAAGAUACUAUUCUUGAAACUCUAGUUUACCUGGAGACGCACAUAGUCAUGCAUGCAUGAUAAUAUGACACACAUAGUUAGGUACGUAAAAACCUCUUUUAUCUAGUAGAAAACUUUGAUUAGAAUUAAUAAAUUGUCUUAGUGUUCACUCUAUUUAAACCCUCCAACCCCAUAAUUAACAUGUCUAGUAUCUCUCUUCACCCACUUUUCUUUCUCUCUCUAUAUAAAAACAAUGGACAAGAAACUGUGCAACUCUUCUCAAGAUCCGGAAGUGAGAAAGGGGCCAUGGACAAUGGAAGAAGACUUGAUCCUCAUCAACUAUAUAGCAAACCAUGGUGAAGGUGUCUGGAACUCCUUGGCUAAAGCUGCUGGUAAAAACAAAUAAAAAAAACAAAAAGUUUAUUUCUUAUUAAGAAUUAUUACAUGUUACAUCAUUGAGUGCUCUCUUGUUUUUUUAAUUCUUGAAGAUCUUCUUCUUUCUUUUCUUUUCUUCAUCCUCCUAAAACCCUAGGGGUGUGAGAGAAUGAUUCAUCAUCAUGAUGGUUUCUCAGGUCUUAAACGUACCGGAAAGAGUUGCCGGCUCCGGUGGCUAAACUAUCUCCGUCCGGAUGUUAGAAGAGGGAAUAUUACACCGGAGGAACAGCUUCUCAUCAUGGAACUUCAUGCAAAGUGGGGAAACAGGUAAACUGAUGAAAACUGAUUUAGUUAUAAAAAAAUGCAUGGUGCAUGUGUUCUACACAAAGAGAUCAUUUUGUUUUUUUUACUAAAACAAUGAUAUUUCUACAAAGAAAAGAAAAAUUUAAAUGUCAACCGUCUCUAUAAACGAAAGAUAUAUGAAAGAAGUUCUUUGCUCUCACUUAGUUUGAGAAGGAGAGAAUUCUAACCAUGAGAAAAGAUGCCACACAUGGGACUUGUAGACCUUGUGGCAACAAAUGUUCCUUGGACUAAAUCUAUUUAUUCCAUCCAUAUGGAAGAGAUGGAGUAUAUUUCUUUAAAGGGUGCAUGUUAUACACCUCUUGACUCUUGUUUCUGUUGCAUUCGACCUAUCUCUCUCACUUACCUACUUAUAAAAUAAUGAAGUGGGAAUUAUAAGUAGUUUUGUUGGAAGUGAGGUCAGAUCUAAUAGAGGGAAGAUCAAUACAAUAAUGAUAAAUCUCAUAAACUCAAUGAAUUAAUUAGUUACUGGACAUGAAUAUUAAACAUCCUUAAUUUUUACUCCUUUAACAUAUAUUGUUUGCAUAGAUGCAUCUCCUAAAUUUCUCAACGAAUUAAUUUUUAUUUUUAUUUUGAUCAAAUUUGUAUUUUAAUUUUUUACUUUUAAGAUCUAUUCUCUUGAUCUGAAAGUUGGAGGUUGGCUAUGAGAGAGAUUUAAACUUUUACUAUAUAUUUUUAUGAAUUAUAUUGUAUGCAUUAGAGUUUUUCAGAGCAGUAAAAGUUAGAAACUCCAGAAUCGAUCUCAAAUUUAGUCCUUACACAAUUUUCGGAAGGCAAAUGAAACUACUAACUAAAAGGAAGAAAGGCAUGAUGGAAAAUAUGCCAUCCGGAACUGGACCCAAUAGAGAUAUAUAAAUAGAAGAGAUAUAAAUGAGAGUUGAUGAAUUGAGUAAUAGAAAAUAAAAUUGGCCAAAAGGAAAUGAAAGAGAAAAUUAAUGUCAAUGAAUCACAACUCAAACAUGAUUAUAGACAACAAUAAAAGAUUUAUCUUUUAUUUUGAAAAAAAUGCAGAUUUAUCUUUCUUAAACAAGAAGUAAUAUAAAGGGUAAAUUGCACUGACCUUCCCUGAGAUUUAUCAUUAUUGUACUGAUCUCUCCUCUAUUAUUUAAUUAGACAUUAAUCAACCUUAUUUUAUUGAGAACAUUGCACUCUUGAGGUUUAUUAUUGCACUGACAUCUCUUAAGAUUUAAAAUAUUUUUGUUUGAACAAACAAGAUAAUCAUUUAUUAAAAGAAAGUCCGUUACAAAAGGGGAAGAAUUACGUUAAAGCCAUCACUCAACGCCCCCGUAUUAUUUAAACUGAUAUGUAAAAGAGGGAAGAUUAAUGCAUUUUGCAAACUAAAUGAGAGGUCGUUAGUGCAAUAAUGUUAAACCUCAGGAGAGGUGAUUGUAGUUUCCCUAAAAUAAAUUAUUAGAAAGGCUGUUUUUUAAAUUUACUACUAUAUAUAAAUAUUAUUUUUCGAAAGCAGAAAAAUUUACUGAUCAAAUUUACUAGAAUAUAUAAUUAUAAAACUAUUUUAACUUUAUAAAUGCUAUUUUAUAAUUGGCUAUAUAUAAUUAUAUAUACCUCCAAGGAGCCCUUUGAUAGAAAACCGAAUAAGUUGUGGACUAGAGGGGAUUCCAUUUUAGGGUGCAGCAAUAGAAGUAGGAAUAACCUUAAUUAUGGCUUUUUAGUUUCAGACGAAUGAGAAAUUUCAGAGUUUGGGUGAAGUAGACCCAAACCAUCCACUUUGGGCUCUUGACAAGGGCAGGUGUCCUUGUAAAUCUUUGAUAGACUUACAUUUGAUUAUAGCGCAUAAUCAAACUAGCUAGCUAGUUACAUCGAUCCAAAGUACCUCAAUAUCCAAUUUUCUUUCUGCAAAACAAGCCAAACCACAAACAAGAAAGUAUGGAUUAAUUGUCUAAGGAAAACCAAAAAAAUAGGAUACAAAGUAGUUUGUAAUUAAAAAGUUUGUUAUGAGAUAUAGAAGUUUAUGGAUUUGUUUACUGGACCGAGAAAAUAUGAGUAAAAAUUACUUUUUUUUACUAAUUAAUUUUAGCACAUAAAAACUUUAUUGUAAAUAUUACGUAUUGCAUAUUAGUUGUAAAAACAUGGUUCAUAGAAAGACCAUAUUUUAAGAUGUUCCACCAUACCGCCCAAAAUUAUAUUUAGGACUCUACUUAUUUUGUUUGUGCAUGUACCUGAGCUGAGCUGAGACAACCCACGAAAGACAAAUGAAAUUUUUAAUUCAAACUGAUCUCACAAUUAUCACAUUUUUUAAUUAUAAAAUAACUAUAUUUUAAGACUAAUAGGUCAAGAAAGUAAAUUAAAUAUAGUUCACAUUUUCUAGAUGGAAAUAGGUUGGGUCAAGGUCAACUUCCAAACACUUCUUUUUUGAAAAGAACUUCCAAACACUUGAGUUUCAUUUACCUGAGUUUUUAACAUGGUGUAAGUUAUAUAAUUUUCAAGCUACUUCUUUUCACUAAGGUAUCCUGUAGUUAAGAGGGUAUAGACUAAUUCUCUCAAGAUUUUAAGAUCACAUUCAAUGAGUAGACAUCUUCUAACUAAUCAUUCUCUUAACACACUAUUCAAAUAUAAAACUAUCAACUAGAUUAUAUAUAUAUAUAUAUAUAUAUAUAUAUAGCCAAGAAAAAUAACAUUAACUAGAAGCACAAGGGGAGGAUUAAGUCAGCAUGUUAGGCCGAAAACACUUUCCAAAUGGUAUAUGUAAGAACUUUUUAGUUUUUUGGUGCAUUUAUAGCAAGUUAGAAACGCCCACACCAUGAUGAUGCUAACUUUCUCGUAGGGUUUUUUUUUUUUUUUUUGAAUUCACAAGACUCAUACCUAAAAUCUUACUUAAAGAGAGUCAGAUAUGUAUCAUAUAAACCAACCAUGCACCUGUUGCUAGACUUUUUAAUUAAACAAGCUUUUAGAAAAACUUUAAUCUUAUUUAUUUUUAUUUAAGUCCAACACGUCAGUAAGAUAUGAGCUACCUCUAUAAGCCCAAUUGAGGCCCGUUCUAGCGGUCUGACCUAUUUCUACUCAGAGACUUUCCUUUGUUUGUUAAAAGCAUAUAUAGAAAUUAAAAUGCAAGAAGGAAAUGGACAUAAAAUUUUGCUACAAAAUAUGAAAUGGGAUAGCCGAAAUGGAAGUGUAUUUUAUGUAGACGACAAAAAUGAAAAGGAAUACAUGGAUGGAAAGAGAGUGAGAGAGAGAGAGAGAGAGAGAGAGAGCAUAGGAAAUAUUUGAAGGGAAACCAUACUCUGCCUGCGUGAGGCAUGCUUUGAGAAAUCUGAUUUUUUCUCAUCUUGGAGACUGGAGAGCCUGCGCUGCUAAGCAAAGGCAUAUCUCCAUAAUAUACCAAUGGAAAUUCAGCAUCUUACGUACCUCAACAAUGCUGGUUUUUAUAAGUGAGUUCAAUAUAACUUCACAUUGAAUCUCAGCCGUCAAACAUGAUCUCUAUAGGCGGUUUUAAUAUUUAAAUUUCAGAUUCAUGCUUCGUUUUCCAAGAAACUACAAUAAUACCAAUCGCUAGUUGGUUCUUGUCCAUGUCUGAGAUUCCCUUUUGAUAAGUUGUGGAGUUCAAGUCUUGUGAAUGGUCGAAACUAGAGUUAGUCUGUUCUUCAAUUCAGGUCUUGAGAAUGGAAAAAGUUGACGAGUAGAGCUAGAUUUAUUGUGAUAUGAACGCCCUCACUUGAGCUAAUCCUAUUAUGAUAUGGAUUUUACCGACUCGAACAUAAUAGCUUGUUGUGGAUGACACUUGUGGUGGAAAAGUAAAAGUAAAAGUAAUACUACACCUAUGUUUUACCUCACUUUCUCUCAUGCACACGUGUGUACACUCUUUCCACCAAAAUUUCAUUAACAGAGUGUUUUCUGCAUAUAUAUUAUGGUUAAGAGGACUUCAAAUCUAGUUAUGCUGACUCUUUUUUUUUUCCUUUCUCAUAUCAGUAGUCUGCUCUAAUUAUCAUAAACAGAACUAAAACUUGUUUAUUUUGUUUGAUCAUACCCCAUUUAUUCCUUGUUUUUUAAAGUUUAGGUUUAAAAGUUCUAUAAGUUUACCUUGAGGCUCCUAUUCUACUUGCACUCUAGAGAGAAAGAAAAGAAAAAAAGAGAAAUUAGAGAUAUGAUAGAUGAUACAUGAUGAGAAAAGAAAAGAGAGAUAGGAAGAAAAAGUGAGUGAAAAUGAGAUGGAAGAGAAAGAUGAGUGUGAAUGAAUCAAAACGCUUAAAAGUUUCUUUACAGCUAAACAAAACCAGCACAAUACCAUUCAGUUAUCUGUCAUUGUUGUCUUUUUACAAAUUAUUCAUCAACAAAGUCCACUUUCUCUUCCAUAUCCCAAUUCCAUCAUUUUUACUUGACAUCUCAAAUUUCUUUUCUGAUCACAUCACUCGUCAUAUCUUUUGUUUUGGUUCUCACUCUGGGUGGGAGUGAAAAUGGGAAGGAUGAUGUCGACACAAUGUUAGUGAUUAUUUAUUCACCAAUGCACACAGGUGGUCCAAAAUUGCAAAGCACCUACCUGGAAGAACAGACAAUGAGAUAAAGAACUUCUGGAGGACUAGGAUCCAGAAGCAAAUGAAGCAAUCUGAGAAUUUAUUCCAGCAACAACAGGGUUCUUCUGAUCAAAUAAAUGAUCCUCAAGCAAGCACUAGCCAACUUUCCACAAUCUCUGAGCCUAUGGAGCCCUAUUCUUCAUCCUCUUACCAACAACUAUUGGAGCCAUUUUCAGCUCCUCAGUUCCCCACCACAAUCCCUGAUAAUCAGAAUCAGACCAGUACUAGUAGUACUAAUGACAACAACAACUAUUGGAGCAUGGAGGAUUUCUGGUCAAUGCAAUUACUUAAUGGUGAUUAAAUAUAUAAAAAUAAUAUAAUCUAUAUAAUUAACCUAAGUGGUUAAGUUCCAUGAAGCUGGAGUACUGUCUCUUGCGGAAUUAAAAAAAAACAUUAUUAGGCUUGUCUAUAUAAGUAGUAGUUUGAUGUUUGGUGACUUGCGUGCCAUUAAGAGCUAAAUGAGUUAUGUGCUGUAAUAUAUGAGCUUAAUCGAACUUUAUCUGCAUGUGCUUGCAUGUGGAGUGUACUAAGAGAUAUGAUUGAGAACCACAAACCUGGAACUUAAUAUGUAUUCCCUGUGGCAGGCUUGAUUAUUUAUUAGAUUGUUUUUUUAUUUUAUUUGUCAAUAUUUGGUAAGUUGUCUUUGUACCAAGCUCAAGGUAACUUCAAAUCAAAAUACUUUUCUUCUUUGUUAGGAAUAGUUCCUAGCUACAAGAAUGACAUAUCAGUAAGCCUUUUCUCUUUUAUUAUAUUGGCUCAUUUUAUGAGGUGCUAUUAUUUUAGCACUUAUGAUAGACACUCAAACAGUAGACGCCUACACCCGAUUUUAUUGUUUACUUUUCUUCUUAUACUAUAUCAUCUCAUAUCUCAUCUAUUACUUUUAUCUCUUAUAUUUCUUUCUCACUAUGUCUCAUCUAUUUCUUUUAAUAUAUCAGACAUUUUUCUAUUGGAUAAUAGACAUCAUUUUGUAUAGAUUGAGAUCUCUGUUGCUUGAUAUUUUCUCAUUUUCAUCACUGAUUUUUGGUUUAUGAUUAAACUUUUAACACAUUCAUUCAUUUCCACCAUAUUUUUCUUUAUAUCUCCUUUUCUAUUCAUAUUUCUGUGAAUUUGGCAUGUGUGUAAUUUUUUACUUUAACUUUAGAAUAUAAUAUCUCCAUGUAGUUUUCCCCUGUAGAUUUCAAACGAAUGGGUAAGAUCUGUUUGGGAUAGUCAGAUAGAUAGUAGCAUCAAACUGGCAACUGACAUAAACGGAAUGACAACCAGUCCAGUAUGGUCAUGAGCUUGUUUUUACAUUUGGGAAAAAGAAAGAACCCCUAUACAUUUGCCUAACUAAACCUACACGAAACCGACACGUUGCACUCAUAGCCAUGUUUGCUAUCAAGAUUCACCCUCUUUUUUCAGAGUUAUGAUUCAUUCACAUUCUCGUUUUAUUUUUGCUUCAUUUUCUAACUAUCUCUCUUCUCUUUCAAUAAUAUCAUCAAUCAGACUCUUACUUCCCUCUCUAUUCUUCAUAUCUCUCUUUUCAACACCUCAUUCACACUCGAAAGGGAGUGUGAAUGAAACUUUAUCCCUUUUUUCCUCAUUGCCCACAGUGGUGCACAGCCAUGCAACAUUAUUAAAACCGACGAGAACCUAACUCUUGUCCAUGGAUAUAGUGAAAGUCAUCACAUGCCCCUCAUAAAUUCACCACCUUAGUCAUUAAGAUGGACCAGAAAACAUAUCCAAUUACUAUUAUCUGUACAUAGUAAAUUUUCUUAGCUAGCUAGUUCCUUCUAUAUAUCAUUGAAUGUAUAUAUAUGACAGAAAGAUCAUUAAGUAUACACUUGAAAUCUGAUAACAUAUAUCCCCAAAAGAUUAGUGUUUUCUGUGCAAGAAGGAAGAAUACUGAGUCACACCCCUAUAUCUUUAUAAUAAUAAUACAUGAGAUGAGAUAGAUAUUAUUAUAACAUAAGCUGUUCCAUUAUGUUACGUUCUGUUUUAUUAUGUUCUAUUGCGUUCGGUUAUGUUACCAAAGCUUCCUGAUGUUGUGUUCUAAGUUGGGAGGGAAAGAGUUUGUCCUAUGCGAAGAGCGAGUUAGGCGAAGUGACAAGAAUAGAGAGUAGUAGAGGGCAUUGAUAGUAUUGAUGAUGGUGUACCAAACUUUCAACUUUAGUUUUCCAACACUUAAUCGGACAAAGGGGCUGAGAAGCUGAGUGAAGAUACUCGUCCUCUGCUCAUCAUGCCAUGUCUUUUAAAGGAAACAUAAAGGACGAUUUUUCAUCACUUUGAUCCUUUUGUGAUCUGAAAAAGAAAUCACAGUUUCUCUGAGCCGCUCAUUCUAUUCUGUCACAUGUUUUUUGUGUGGGAAUUCAAUCCAACACGUGAUGUGAUAAGGAUAAUUGUUCACGUGGUGGGUCGGCUACGUACUUGAGGUAAAGAAAACAUGAUGAAAUUCUACAUAGGAGGAGGAGUGAGCCAUGUACAUAUGCUAGCUUUAACAGAAUCCUCAUCAGUACGUUACUUAACACUUCAACCUGCUUUCUUUACAAUGACGUGAACAUAUACAUAUUUGAAUUUGAACUAAUAUACACCUUAACAAAAGAAAAACAGAGAAGAUAAAGCUCUGUAAUCUGAUAUAUAUCUUUAAUUUCAUAUGGUUUGAUUGGAUGUAUAUAUUUCUAUGAGACUGAGAGUACUUGUAACUUGUAAGGUUUUCUCUCUAAACAUGUUCUGCUGUUGGCAUUUGAUAAAAAGGAUAGCUAUUAGCUAGCUAGGCAGAUGGAAAAAGGUGACGCUUAGUUAUGUUAGUAAAAAUAGAGAGAAGAAGUGAUAUUAGAGGGAGGAGGUUUUAGAUAAACUUAAAGGCAUGACUUACUAAUAUGUGAACCUAAAAGUUUGGAUAUGAAUAAGAGUAUAAAUUGAAGGCUUUUUAUAAUGUUCACUAGUAAGAAAGUAAUGCAUGGAAACUUGGAAACGGUAGCUGAUUGUGAUUUGUUGAGUUUCUUUUGUCAUAGAAGAACUUGUAACUUUAACAAAAGUUUAUAAUGAGAUAAGUUUCAAUUUGGUGUUGUGGUGUGG